rnacentral:rRNA from 1 species
UACGGAGGGUGCAAGCGUUGUCCGGAUUUAUUGGGUUUAAAGGGUGCGUAGGCGGCCUUUUAAGUCAGUGGUGAAAGCCCAUAGCUCAACUAUGGAACUGCCAUUGAUACUGAAAGGCUUGAGUACAGACGAGGUUGGCGGAAUGGAUGGUGUAGCGGUGAAAUGCAUAGAUACCAUCCAGAACUCCGAUUGCGUAGGCAGCUAACUAGGCUGUAACUGACGCUGAGGCGCGACAGCGUGGGGAGCGAACAGG